UUUAUUUGAGAGAGAGAAAGAGAACACGAGAGGCAGAGGGAGAAGCAGACUUCCCGCUGAGCAGGGAGCCCCAUGUGGGACUCGAUCCCAGGACCCUGAAAUCAUGACCUGAGCCGAAGGCAGACGCUUAACCGACUGAGCCACUCAGCAGCUUGAAGUUCCUUCUAAGAAAACAAAAUGAGAUGAAAUCAGCAAGGAUGUGUAGAUACACGCACGGCUUAAUGCUGAUAGACUGUCCGCCUGCCAAAGCGUAAGCUCAUCUCAUCCGAAGCCGCCUGCUCGAGAUGAAAAUAUAGCCCCUUCUUUACCCAGAAAAGCAGUAUGUGUUUAAGGGAACCCAGUUCAGCCUACAGUGGACUCUCCGCAGGGUCGGCUCAAGACAGGAGAGCAGUCUGCCCUUUGGCCGGGCUGGGGAGCUCCUCCCAACACUGAUUCCAGACGGUCCUUGUCAGAGCUGUCCCAGGUGGGCGCUUGGCAGAAAUCUUUCCAAAGCCAUGUGCGAUUCAUUCCCCGUGGUCUUAGAGCCAAGAAGACUUUUGUGCCCAGGAGGCUGCCUCCCACUUUUACUUCUUGCCAGGGUCGUCAUACCCUCCUCGUGGCGUGCUCGAGUUCCGGAAACUCAUCUGCCAGCACCCGGGGCCAAAUUGCCAUGAAGGGGCCCCGAGAGGCUCAGGCCAGCGUGUUCUGGACUUGUGGGUGUCCUGGCAGUCCUUAUAUUCUCUUCUUUUGUUUAUUCUUACCUGAAGCUAUCAACACAAAUGGAAUUUUAACCAUGAAGUAUAUAAUCACAGGCAAGGUAUGGGCAUCCGAGGAUGAGAUGGGGCCCUUCUUGAGGACAGUUUCCUGAGGCUCUCUGCUGUGU